rnacentral:rRNA from 1 species
ACUCCUACGGGAGGCAGCAGUGGGGAAUAUUGCACAAUGGGCGCAAGCCUGAUGCAGCAACGCCGCGUGAGCGAUGAAGGCCUUCGGGUCGUAAAGCUCUGUCCUCAAGGAAGAAUAAAUGACGGUACUUGAGGAGGAAGCCCGGCUAACUACGUGCCAGCAGCCGCGGUAAUACGUAGGGGGCAAGCGUUAUCCGGAAUCACUGGGGCGUAAAGGGGUGCGUAGGCGGUUUUCAAGUCAGAAGUGAAAGGCUAUGGCUCAACCAUAGUAAGCUUUUGAAACUGUUAAACUUGAGUGCAGGAGAGGAAAGUGGAAUUCCUAGUGUAGAGGUGAAAUUCGUAGAUAUUAGGAGGAACACCAGUGGCGAAGGCGACUUUCUGGACUGUAACUGACGCUGAGGCACGAAAGCGUGGGGAGCGAACAGGAUUAGAUACCCUGGUAGCACAGAG